rnacentral:rRNA from 1 species
AUUGAACGCUGGCGGCAUGCUUUACACAUGCAAGUCGAACGGCAGCACGGGCUUCGGCCUGGUGGCGAGUGGCGAACGGGUGAGUAAUAUAUCGGAACGUACCCAGAAGUGGGGGAUAACGUAGCGAAAGUUACGCUAAUACCGCAUACGAUCUACGGAUGAAAGUGGGGGACCUUCGGGCCUCAUGCCUUUGGAGCGGCCGAUAUCUGAUUAGCUAGUUGGUGAGGGAAAGGCUCCCCAAGGCGACGAUCAGUAGCUGGUCUGAGGGGACGAUCAGCCACGCUGGGACUGAGACACGGUCCAGACUCCUACGGGAGGCAGCAGUGGGGAAUAUUGGACAAUGGGCGCAAGCCUGAUCCAGCCAUACCGCGUGGGUGAAGAAGGCCUUCGGGUUGUAAAGCCCUUUUGUUUGGAAAGAAAUCCAGCUGGUUAAUACCCGGUUGGGAUGACGGUACCCAAAGAAUAAGCACCGGCUAACUUCGUGCCAGCAGCCGCCGCAG